rnacentral:rRNA from 1 species
UACAACGCACUACCUGUUCAUAUUAGUCGUUGCUGUCAACAGCACACUGCUCACCAUAAACGCAGGGGACUACAUCUUCUACACAGACUGGGCGUGAACGUCCUUCGUUGUGUUCUCGUUGUACCAUUCGUCGUUGCUUGCAGUAGGCGCUGUAUCCUACUUGGUUCUCACAUGUCGUCCAUGCACCCCAAUCUAUCACUCCCCUACUAUCAUCAUCUACACAUGUGUACCUACGUGCUCACGGCUUACACUGUGAUAACCCGAUCUCUCCGUCUAGGAGACACGACGCAACAAGCACGCUGCCAUCUGGAUUGGCUGUACGCUGGUUGCCAUAGCCUUCCCGCUGUUCAACAUGGUCAACCUGUUGCUUGUAAGGGACCCGCUCGAGGUGGCCUUCAAGUAUCCGAGAACGACUCUGCCAGCGUACAUGACGCCUAUAGAGCCUCAGGUAGGGAAGUUCUACAACUCGCCUGUCGCCCUGGGUUCAGGUGCCGGUGCAGUGCUAACGGUACCCAUCGCUGCGUUGGGUGCAAAACUAAACACGUGG